rnacentral:rRNA from 1 species
GAUGAACGCUAGCGGCAGGCCUAAUACAUGCAAGUCGAACGGUGUCUUCGGACAUAGUGGCGCACGGGUGCGUAACACGUAUGCAACCUACCUUACAUUGGGGGAUAGCCUUUCGAAAGAGAGAUUAAUACCGCAUAAGACAGUAACAUGGCAUCAUGUAGCUGUUAAAGAUUUAUCGAUGUAAGCUGGGCAUGCGUCCAAUUAGUUAGUUGGUGGGGUAACGGCUCACCAAGACGAUGAUUGGUAGGGGAACUGAGAGGUCAAUCCCCCACACUGGCACUGAGAUACGGGCCAGACUCCUACGGGAGGCAGCAGUAGGGAAUAUUGGGCAAUGGGCGCAAGCCUGACCCAGCCAUGCCGCGUGCAGGAAGAAGGCGUUCUGCGUUGUAAACUGCUUUUAUAUAGGAAGAAACGACCCUUGCGAGGGGCAUUGACGGUAUUAUAUGAAUAAGCACCGGCUAACUCCGUGCCAGCCGCCGCAGUAACAC